rnacentral:rRNA from 1 species
AUUGAACGCUGGCGGCAGGCUUAACACAUGCAAGUCGAGCGAGCGGCGGACGGGUGAGUAAUGCAUGGGAAACUGCCUGAUGGAGGGGGAUACCUACUGGAAACGGUAGCUAAUACCGCAUACCAUCAGAUGUGCCCAGAUGGGAUUAGCUAGUAGGUAGGGUAAUGGCUCACCUAGGCGACGAUCCCUAGCUGGUCUGAGAGGAUGACCAGACAAACUGGAACUGAAACACGGUCAAGACUCCUACGGGAGGCAGCAGUGGGGAAUAUUGCAGAAUGGACGCAAGCCUGAUGCAGCCAUGCCGCGUCAAUGAAGAAGGCCUUAGGGUUGUAAAGAACUUUCAGCGGGGAGGCGUUACCCGCAGAAGAAGCACCGGCUAACUCCGUGCCAGCCGCCGCGGUAAUUC